GAUAAAGUUUUUAUGUUUUAUAAAAUUUAUUGUAAGUUUAUUUUACAUAUAAAUUUUAGUGUUAAAUUUUAAUUAUUUAAAAAAUAAUUAAUUAAAGAUUAUAGUAAUUAAAAUUAAAAAUUUAAGAAAUUAAGAUUUAGUAAUAUAAAAAUUAAUAACUAAUUUUGUGCCAGCAGUUGCGGUUAUACAAAAAUUAAAUUAAAUUAUUUCAGUAUUUAAUAAAUAAAAUAUAAUUAAAAUAAAUAUUAAAUUAUUAGGUGAAAUUUUAAUUUAAUUAAAUUUUAAAUUAAUUUUAUGAUUUAAUAAAUUUAAUAAUAAACUAGGAUUAGAUACCCUAUUAUUAAAAAUUUAAUUAAUAAUACUAAAAUAGUAGAUAAUAAAUAUUGAAACUUAAAUAAUAUGGCGGUAUUUUAGUUCAUUUAGAGGAAUCUGUUUAAUAAUUGAUAAUCCACGAAUAAAUUUACUUAAUUUAUUAUUUUAUAUAUCGUUGUUAAAAAAAUAUUUUAUAAUAAAAAUAAUAUUUUAAAAUUUUAAAAAUAAAUUAAUUCAGAUCAAGAUGUAGAUUAUAAUUAAGAAUAUAAUGGAUUACAAUAAAAUAAUUUAGAUGAAUCAUUAAUUUUAAAAUUAAUUUGAAGGUGGAUUUAAAUGUAAUUUUAAUUAAUUUAUUAAAAUGAUUAAAAAUUGAAAUAUGUACAUAUUGCCCGUCACUUUCAUUUAAAAAUUGAAAUAAGUCGUAACAAAGUAGAAGUACUGGAAAGUGUUUCUAGAAUGAA
rnacentral:ncRNA from 1 species